rnacentral:rRNA from 1 species
GAUGAACGCUGGCGGCGUGCUUAACACAUGCAAGUCGAACGGUGAAAGGAAGCUUGCUUCCUGGAUCAGUGGCGAACGGGUGAGUAACACGUGAGCAAUCUGCCCCAGACUCUGGGAUAACAGCUGGAAACAGCUGCUAAUACCGGAUACGAGACGUGAAGGCAUCUUCAACGUCUGGAAAGAAUUUCGGUCUGGGAUGAGCUCGCGGCCUAUCAGCUAGUUGGUGAGGUAACGGCUCACCAAGGCGUCGACGGGUAGCCGGCCUGAGAGGGUGACCGGCCACACUGGGACUGAGACACGGCCCAGACUCCUACGGGAGGCAGCAGUGGGGAAUAUUGCACAAUGGGCGAAAGCCUGAUGCAGCAACGCCGCGUGAGGGACGACGGCCUUCGGGUUGUAAACCUCUUUUAGCAGGGAAGAAGCGAAAGUGACGGUACCUGCAGAAAAAGCACCGGCUAACUACGUGCCAGCAGCCGCGGUAAUACGUAGGGUGCAAGCGUUAUCCGGAAUUAUUGGGCGUAAAGAGCUCGUAGGCGGUUUGUCGCGUCUGCUGUGAAAACCCGAGGCUCAACCUCGGGCUGCAGUGGGUACGGGCAGACUAGAGUGCGGUAGGGGAGAUUGGAAUUCCUGGUGUAGCGGUGGAAUGCGCAGAUAUCAGGAGGAACACCGAUGGCGAAGGCAGAUCUCUGGGCCGUAACUGACGCUGAGGAGCGAAAGGGUGGGGAGCAAACAGGCUUAGAUACCCUGGUAGUCCACCCCGUAAACGUUGGGAACUAGUUGUGGGGUCCAUUCCCGGAUUCCGUGACGCAGCUAACGCAUUAAGUUCCCCGCCUGGGGAGUACGGCCGCAAGGCUAAAACUCAAAGGAAUUGACGGGGACCCGCACAAGCGGCGGAGCAUGCGGAUUAAUUCGAUGCAACGCGAAGAACCUUACCAAGGCUUGACAUAUAGAGGAAACGGCUGGAAACAGUCGCCCCGCAAGGUCUCUAUACAGGUGGUGCAUGGUUGUCGUCAGCUCGUGUCGUGAGAUGUUGGGUUAAGUCCCGCAACGAGCGCAACCCUCGUUCUAUGUUGCCAGCACGUAAUGGUGGGAACUCAUGGGAUACUGCCGGGGUCAACUCGGAGGAAGGUGGGGAUGACGUCAAAUCAUCAUGCCCCUUAUGUCUUGGGCUUCACGCAUGCUACAAUGGCCGGUACAAAGGGCUGCAAUACCGUAAGGUGGAGCGAAUCCCAAAAAGCCGGUCCCAGUUCGGAUUGAGGUCUGCAACUCGACCUCAUGAAGUCGGAGUCGCUAGUAAUCGCAGAUCAGCAACGCUGCGGUGAAUACGUUCCCGGGUCUUGUACACACCGCCCGUCAAGUCAUGAAAGUCGGUAACACCUGAAGCCGGUGGCCCAACCCUUGUGGAGGGAGCCGUCGAAGGUGGGAUCGGUAAUUAGGACU